rnacentral:rRNA from 1 species
UCGGGAAUUUUGCGCAAUGGACGAAAGUCUGACGCAGCAACGCCGCGUGAGGGAUGAAGGCCUUCGGGUUGUAAACCUCUUUUAUCAGGGAAGAUAAUGACGGUACCUGAUGAAUAAGUCACGGCUAACUACGUGCCAGCAGCCGCGGUAAUACGUAGGUGACAAGCGUUGUCCGGAUUUACUGGGCGUAAAGAGCGCGCAGGCGGUCGUUCAAGUCGAGUGUGAAAGCCCCCGGCUCAACUGGGGAGGGUCAUUCGAUACUGAUCGACUCGAAGGCAGGAGAGGGUAGUGGAAUUCCCGGUGUAGUGGUGAAAUGUGUAGAUAUCGGGAGGAACACCAGUGGCGAAGGCGACUACCUGGCCUGUUCUUGACGCUGAGGCGCGAAAGCUAGGGGAGCAAACGGGAUUAGAUACCCCGGUAGUCCUAGCCGUAAACGAUGGACACUAGGUGUUGGUGGUAUCAACCCCGCCAGUGCCGAAGCUAACGCAUUAAGUGU